UAUCGUGACGUAUAAUCUAGUGGACGGUUCUUAAAAAACAACAAGUCAACCACCUCGGUAGCUUGCUAGCCAACGUAGCCGAAAGAUUCAAGCUGUUUUUACGCUUUCGGUGUAUAUUAGCUGCUGUGUUUUAGACACACUUCUAUCGUAUCUACUUGUUAACCUACUUAAUUUAAUGUUACGUUAUUUUUUAUUAGUCAGAUAUAGUGGCUGGCUGGUUAAAUUAGCACUAGCUUAGUCGCUAAUGAUAGCUAGCUAGCUAAUAUCCCCGAACAUGAGGUCAGUAAGCUUCUCCCCUCCUGCUAAAGAAGAAGGGGUCUGCUGUCUACGGAGAAAGAAGCUCUGGGGCUGAACAUUGUAGUGAAAGAGGAGAAGGAAGAGGAGGAAGUCACAGUUAAAAAAUAAAUUGAGGGCGAGGCUGUUACAGUGAAAGAAGAGGAAGACGCGUUCACAGUGAAAGAGGAGGAUGAGAAAGAGGAUGCCGUUUUUGUCGUGAAGAAGGAAGGGGAGAUUACUGUCACAUUGAAAGAUGAAGAGGUGGAGGUAGGAGAUCUGAUUUACAUCAGAGAGAGACGUGACUAUCGUGGAUCCUCUGGGGAGCCUCAACAACAUCAUGAAGCUGACGAGGCAGAGAAGAGUCUCUCUCGAUCAGAACACCUCAAGAAACACCAGCAAAGACCCACAGGGAAGAAAUCUCACUGCUGCUCUGACUGUGGGAAAAGUUGCAAAUCUUCAUUAGAACUUAAAAUACACCAGCGAGUACACACAGGAGGGAAAUCUCACCACUGUUUUGAUUGUGGGAAGAGUUACUUAAGAUCAGAAUCACUAAAAGUACACAUGAGAAUUCACACUGGAGAGAAACCUUUUAACUGUACUCAGUGGGAAGAGGUUUAAUCACUCAAGCUGCCUGAUAGUACAUCUGAGAGCACACACAGGAGUGAAACCUUAUAGCUGUGAUCAAUGUGGGAAGAGAUUUGUUACAUCUAGCCAUCUGACUAUACACCAGAGAACACACACAGGAGAGAAAUCUUAUAGCUGUAGUCAAUGUGGGAAGAGUUUUAUUCAGUCAAGCAGCCUGGUAUCACACCAGAGAACACACACAGGAGAGAAAUCUCAUAGCUGUGAUCAAUGUCACAAGAGCUACUCUGAUAAAAGAUCUCUGAUCAAACAUCAGAAAAUACAUACAUGAAGGAGUUGUUUCAUGAUAUCAAUGAAAUGUCACAAUGUAGAAUAUUUGAAUGAUGUCACAAUGUAGAAUGUUUUAACAUUGUAGUAGGAAUACAAAGGAUUUGAAUUUGUUAAAAGUCCAUAUUGAUACAGAAACACUAAACCAUGAUUUAGAUGUAUUAAGAACAAGUUGAUUGACAAAGUCAUGAAAAAUGGAAUAAACCACAUUUUGGCUCUGAUAAAAGAUAUGGCUCUGGGGUCAAAAUGAUCCAUGUCAGAACUAUGGUUCAAUGUAAAUAUGUAGUGGGUCUAAAGUUUGUUUUAAAUUAUCACUCAUUAAACACGAAUCAAUCAA